rnacentral:tRNA from 1 species
AGUAAGAUAAGCUAAAUAAGCUCUUGGGCCCAUACCCCAAACAUGUUGGUUAAACCCCCUCUCUCACUA